rnacentral:rRNA from 1 species
GACGAACGCUGGCGGCGUGCUUAACACAUGCGAGUCGAACGGAAAGGCCCUGCUUUUGUGGGGUGCUCGAGUGGCGAACGGGUGAGUAACACGUGAGUAACCUGCCCUUGACUUUGGGAUAACUUCAGGAAACUGGGGCUAAUCCCGGAUAGGAGCUCCUGCUGCAUGGUGGGGGUUGGAAAGUUUCGGCGGUUGGGGAUGGACUCGCGGCUUAUCAGCUUGUUGGUGGGGUAGUGGCUUACCAAGGCUUUGACGGGUAGCCGGCCUGAGAGGGUGACCGGCCACAUUGGGACUGAGAUACGGCCCAGACGCCUACGGGAGGCAGCAGUGGGGAAUAUUGCACAAUGGGCGGAAGCCUGAUGCAGCAACGCCGCGGGCGGGAUGACGGCCUUCGGGUUGUAAACCGCUUUCGCCUGUGACGAAGCGUGAGUGACGGUAAUGGGUAAAGAAGCACCGGCUAACUACGUG